UACGAAGGGGGCUAGCGUUGUUCGGAUUUACUGGGCGUAAAGCGCACGUAGGCGGAUCGUUAAGUCGGGUGUGAAAUCUCCACGCUCAACGUGGAGGGGCCACUCGAUACUGCCAUGACUCGAGUCCGGUAGAGGAGUGUGGAAUUCCCGGUGUAGCGGUGAAAUGCGCAGAUAUCGGGAGGAACACCUAUGGCGAAGGCAGCUCGCUGGGACGUUACUGACGCUGAGACGCGAAAGCGUGGGGAGCAAACAGG
rnacentral:rRNA from 1 species